rfam:Selenihalanaerobacter shriftii strain ATCC BAA-73 genome assembly, contig: EI55DRAFT_scaffold00002.2
CUAAAGACAUAGAAAGGGAAUAGUAAGAAGAAGGCAGAUUUUAAGAGAGUCAUCGGUUGGUGCGAGAUGACAUCUGCACUUUUGAACUCACCCUGGAGUUGUUAAUCUGAAGUGAAGUAGGAUUAAUCGGAUACCUUUCGUUAAUAGGUUAGAGUGAUUCUAUCUUAGUUUAAUUAUGGUAGAAUAAUUAGAGUGGUAACGCGAAAUAACCUUUCGUCUCUAUU